rnacentral:misc_RNA from 1 species
GAUGAAGAACGUAGCGAAAUGCGAUAAGUAAUGUGAAUUGCAGAAUUCAGUGAAUCAUCGAAUCUUUGAACGCACAUUGCGCCCGUCAGUAUUCUGGCGGGCAUGCCUGUUCGAGCGUCAUUACGCCCCUCAAGUCCCCUGUAGACUUGGUGUUGGGGAUCGGCGAGGCUGGUUUUCCAGCACAGCCGUCCCUUAAAUUAAUUGGCGGUCUCGCCGUGGCCCUCCUCUGCGCAGUAGUAAAACACUCGCAACAGGAGCCCGGCGCGGUCCACUGCCGUAAAACCCCCCAACUUUUUAUAGUUGACCUCGAAUCAGGUAGGACUACCCGCUGAACUUAAGCAUAUCAAUAAGCGGAGGA